GACGAACGCUGGCGGCGUGCCUAAUACAUGCAAGUAGAACGCACAGUUUAUACCGUAGCUUGCUACACCAUAGACUGUGAGUUGCGAACGGGUGAGUAACGCGUAGGUAACCUGCCUGGUAGCGGGGGAUAACUAUUGGAGACGAUAGCUAAUACCGCAUAAUAUUAAUUAUUGCAUGAUAAUUAAUUGAAAGGUGCAAUUGCACCACUACCAGAUGGACCUGCCUUGUAUUAGCUAGUAGGGGAGGUAACGGCUCACCUAGGCGACGAUACAUAGCCGACCUGAGAGGGUGAGCGGCCACACUGGGACUGAGACACGGCCCAGACUCCUACGGGAGGCAGCAGUAGGGAAUCUUCGGCAAUGGACGAAAGUCUGACCGAGCAACGCCGCGGGAGUGAAGAAGGUUUUCGGAUCAUAAAGCUCUGUUGUAAGAGAAGAACGGGUGUGAGAGUGGAAAGUUCACACUGUGACGGUAUCUUACCAGAAAGGGACGGCUAACUACGUG
rnacentral:rRNA from 1 species